rnacentral:rRNA from 1 species
UCGCCUGUUUUAUCAAAAACAUCGCCUCUUGCAAAAUCAAUGAAUAAGAGGUCCCGCCUGCCCUGUGACUAUAAGUUUAACGGCCGCGGUAUUUUGACCGUGCGAAGGUAGCGCAAUCACUUGUCUUUUAAAUGGAGACCUGUAUGAAUGGCAUAACGAGGGCUUAGCUGUCUCCUUUUUCAAGUCAAUGAAAUUGAUCUCCCCGUGCAGAAGCGGGGAUACGUACAUAAGACGAGAAGACCCUAUGGAGCUUUAGACACCAAGGCAGACCAUGUUAAACACCCCAAAACAAAGGGCCAAACCAAAUGACCCCUGCCCUAAUGUCUUUGGUUGGGGCGACCGCGGGGAAACACAAAACCCCCACGUGGAACGAGAGUACUCCCUCUCACAACCAAGAGCUUCCGCUCUAAUAAACAGAAAUUCUGACCAAUAAGAUCCGGCAAAGCCGAUCAACGGACCGAGUUACCCUAGGGAUAACAGCGCAAUCCCCUUUUAGAGGCCAUAUCGACAAGGGGGUUUACGACCUCGAUGUUGGAUCAGGACAUCCUAAUGGUGCAGCCGCUAUUAAGGGUUCGUUUGUUCAACGAUUAAAGUCCUACGUGAUCUGAGUUCAGACCGGA